GUCAGUAACUCAGGGCUUAAGCCACUGAGCUUGUAAGAGACAAGUCUUACGUGUCUGACUAGCUCAUUAGACGUAGUUUGGUACAAACUUCCGAAUGCUUUCCCAGUUCGGAUUAUCUUUA
rnacentral:sRNA from 18 species